rnacentral:tRNA from 2 species
GCCGCUUUAGCUCAGGGGUAGAGCAACCGCCUUGUAAGCGGUAGGUCGUGUGUUCAAAUCACACAAGCGGCACCA